UUCUUUGGAGAGUUUGAUCCUGGCUCAGGACGAACGCUGGCGGCGUGCCUAAUACAUGCAAGUCGAGCGGACCAAAUCGGAGCUUGCUCUGAUUUGGUCAGCGGCGGACGGGUGAGUAACACGUGGGCAACCUGCCCGCAAGACCGGGAUAACUCCGGGAAACCGGAGCUAAUACCGGAUAACACCGAAGACCGCAUGGUCUUUGGUUGAAAGGCGGCC
rnacentral:rRNA from 1 species